rnacentral:snoRNA from 1 species
UCCCCCUGGCAAUGGGCAAGGAGACACCUGAUUGGUGGCGCUGUUCUCAUAUCAGUCAGCGGCAAAGCAGGUGUACAGUCCUUAGUUCGUCCUAGCUUGAUGCCUGUGUUGGUGGCCAGAGCUGUUUCAUGCCUGAGGCACAUUA